rnacentral:rRNA from 1 species
UAGUGGCGGACGGGUGAGUAACGCGUGGGUAACCUGCCUUACACUGGGGGAUAACACUUAGAAAUAGGUGCUAAUACCGCAUAAUGAGAGGAGACGCAUGUCUUCUGUCUGAAAACUCCGGUGGUGUAAGAUGGACCCGCGUCUGAUUAGCCAGUUGGCGGGGUAACGGCCCACCAAAGCGACGAUCAGUAGCCGGCCUGAGAGGGUGAACGGCCACAUUGGGACUGAGACACGGCCCAAACUCCUGCGGGAGGCAGCAGUAGGGAAUUUUCGUCAAUGGGCGCAAGCCUGAACGAGCGAUGCCGCGUGAGUGAAGAAGGCCUUCGGGUCGUAAAGCUCUGUUGCGGGGGAAAAAAGGCAGCAUCAGGAAAUGGGUGCUGACUGAUGGUGCCCCGCCAGAAAGUCACGGCUAACUACGUGCCAGCAGCCGCGGUAAUACGUAGGUGGCGAGCGUUAUCCGGAAUGAUUGGGCGUAAAGGGUGCGCAGGCGGUCCUGCAAGUCUGGAGUGAAACGCAUGAGCUCAACUCAUGCAUGGCUUUGGAAACUGGAGGACUGGAGAGCAGGAGAGGGCGGUGGAACUCCAUGUGUAGCGGUAAAAUGCGUAGAUAUAUGGAAGAACACCAGUGGCGAAGGCGGCCGCCUGGCCUGUUGCUGACGCUGAGGCACGAAAGCGUGGGGAGCAAAUAGGAUUAGAUACCCUAGUAGUCCACGCCGUAAACGAUGAGGACCAAGUGUUGGGGAAGACCCAGUGCUGCAGUUAACGCAGUGAGUCCUCCGCCUGGGGAGUAUGCACGCAAGUGUGAAACUCAAAGGAAUUGACGGGGGCCCGCACAAGCGGUGGAGUAUGUGGUUUAAUUCGAAGCAACGCGAAGAACCUUACCAGGCCUUGACAUAGGGUGCGAAGCUGUGGAGACAUAGUGGAGGUAAACAUCCAUACAGGUGGUGCAUGGUUGUCGUCAGCUCGUGUCGUGAGAUGUUCAGUUAAGUCUGGCAACGAGCGCAACCCUCGUGAUGUGUUACCAAUAUCGAGUUAGGGACUCACAUCAGACUGCCGGUGAGAAACCGGAGGAAGGCGGGGAUGACGUCAAAUCAUCAUGCCCCUUAUGAUUUGGGCUACACACGUGCUACAAUGGCGUAAACAAAGGGAAGCGAGCCUGUGAAAGUAAGCGAAACUCAGAAAUAACGUCUCAGUUCGGAUUGUAGUCUGCAACUCGACUACAUGAAGCUGGAAUCGCUAGUAAUCGCGGAUCAGAAUGCCGCGGUGAAUACGUUCCCGGGUCUUGCACACACCGCCC